AUGCCAAGAUCAGAAAGAAGCAGUCGCUUUCCUGUGUGUUUUGAAACGUUAUACCCUCUGGAUGCCACCACCUCAUUGGAAGACAAGGAACAGGCAGUAGAAGACAUAAGAAGUGUUCUGAGAAGAGAGACACAGGAUAUGGCAGUAUUAUUGUCAACUUUAAUUUCAGUAUUUUUGGUACUGUCAUUUACAGAAUCACAGAAUUGUAGGGGUUGGAAGGGACCUUUAGAGAUCAUCGAGUCCAAUCCCCCUGCCAAAGCAGGUUCCCUACACCACGUCGCACAGGUAGGCGUCCAGGCGGGUCUUGAAUAUCUCCAGAGAAGGAGACUCCACCACCUCCCUGGGCAGCCUGUUGCAGUGCAUUUAGAUAAGCAGCAGUAUCACAGUAACAGCAUGAAGCCUGUCCUGAACACAGAUAGGGCAAAAACGUCGUAACUCAGUGAGCGCUGGGUGAGUGCGAUUUCGGAUCAGCCGGCUGUGCUGGCGCUCGUCCUGCAGGGGGCGCUGUAACACAGCGCAGAGACGCGGCGCUUUCAGGCACCGCCCACGCCGCGCCCGCUGAUAACGGUGCUAUUAAGUGCCAGCGGUGUCCGCAGCGUGGGCCGCCGGCUGCUUUCUGCACUUCCACAAUGAUUUUAUCUAAAGCGUGAACUGGGUAGUGAAAACCACACUGCACACAGCUGAGUCUUUCUUCAGCAGACGCACGAUUGUGGUGUCAAUCAGCGGGAACGCUUCUAUUGUGAGUCGAAAGCCCGCGUGUUAAAGGAAACAAAGGAGUGCCACGCUUGUAAAACACAGAAUCACACACACAGAAUCACAGAAUUACCCGGGUUGGAAGGGACCUCAAGGAUCAUGUAGUUCCAACCCCCCUGCCUGGCAGGGCCACCAAACAUACACAUUUACUAGAUCAGGUUGCCCAGGGCCCCGUCCAACCUGGUCUUGAACACCUCCAAGGACGGGGCAUCCACAACCUCCCUGGGCAGCCUGUUCCAGUACCUAACCACUCUCUUAGUAAAGAACUUCCCCCUAACGUCCAACCUAAAUCUUCCCUCUUUUAACUUAAAACCAUUUCCACACAUUAAUUGAAUGAAGGUCAACGAUUAUACUGACAUGAAUAGUCAGGUGAUAUAUGAAGGCUAAGGAUGGGGCUUGGCAUCCAUAGGUAAAAUGGCCAAGUAGUAUUGGGGCUACCAUGGCCUCCACCUGAGCCCACCAUUCACCACCUAAAGUGGAAAUAAAGUAACGCUUUGUGUACCUUGUAGGGGUAUG
rnacentral:lncRNA from 1 species